UACGUAGGGGGCGAGCGUUGUCCGGAAUUACUGGGCGUAAAGAGCGCGUAGGCGGCGGCGUAAGUCGUUUGUGAAAGACCCGGGCCCAACCCGGGGGUUGCAGGCGAAACUAUGCCGCUUGAGUGCGGUAGAGGGAAGUGGAAUUCCUAGUGUAGCGGUGAAAUGCGCAGAUAUUAGGAGGAACACCAGUGGCGAAGGCGACUUUCUGGGCCGCAACUGACGCUGAGGCGCGAAAGCGUGGGGAGCAAACGGG
rnacentral:rRNA from 1 species